CCCGGUUACAACGGUCGCGACUAGAAACGAACUUAUUUAUACGGCAUGCCUGUGUGUGCAGUUCGACACUGCAAAAAUCGUUCAACGGGCUUGAAAGAAAACAAUUCAAAAUUGUAUUUCUUUCCACAUGAUCCUGAUCUUCAAAAUAAGUGGCUCGAGGCUUGUGGUCGACAGCUCGAAGAACUGAAAAUCAGCACGGCUGCAGUAUGCGAAAUUCAUUUCGCACCCGAGUGUAUUGAAAAGAGAGCAACGAUUCCUAAAACAAAAUGUGGCCAGAGCAGAAUAAUGUUGAGACUGAAGAAAGGUUCAUUGCCUACAUUAAAUUUAGAUUUACAACCACAGCCGAAAAAAAUGUGCUUAUCUUCUUCCAGAAAUACAGUUCAUCAUGCGAAGUCAUGGUGUGGCGCUAUACCAACAUAUACGCAAUUGGUUGCUUAUGCAAAAUCAAAGACAGCUUGUGCAGGAAACGAGGCAGGUGUCGGAAGUGCCAUGGAGGAGAAUAGCGCAGUGGUAAAUGUGCAGGAACCGCUGAGGGAAAAAGUUGUUGGACUCUAGUGUCAACAACCUGGAACCACAAAGUGGAGUUUAGAAUUGUAAACCCCGAGGAAAUUGCGAACUGAUGAAUUGUGAACAUGAAAUAAGCUCGCUGACUUUGCCACCGAGAACAAACGGUGAGUUAUUGGAGGAGCUGGAGCAGACGAAGAAACAUUAUGCGGAGAUUCAAGAGCAAAAUAUCCACCUUCUACAAGAAAAUGCUGAGUUGAAACGUAAACGUAACGAGAAUACUGAUAUACACAACUCAUCUCACCAGUCGAAUGUUGAAUAUGCGACCUCUAUUCUCAGUUAAGUUUUUACCAAGGGUCAAGUAAGAAAACUAAUAUCUGGCAAAUCUGGCCGAAUACAUUGGGCUAUUGAGGACAUUACUUCCGCAAUUGCGCUGCGAUCUAUCAGUUCGAAAGCUUAUAAUUAUUUAAGAGAUGUAAGAAAAGUUCCACUUCCUAGCGUCUCAACCCUCCGAAAGUGGAUAUCCAACUUUCAACUGAAACCGGGAAUUCUGCAUGAGGUUUUAAAUAUUAUGCGGUUAAAAGGAGAAGAUCUGUCACUUGCGGAAAAAGUAACAAUUUUAACAUUCGACGAGGUGUAUAUUUUAAAUAAAAUAGAUGUCGACAGAAAGGAGCAGAAGAUUUAUGGACCUCAUAAAACCUGCCAGGUGAUAAUGGCUCGCGGUCUGUUCUCGAAGAGGAAGCAGCCAAUUUUUUAUAAUUUUUCGACACCCAUGACAAAGGAAAUAAUAAAUAAAAAAAAAAUAAUAAC